rnacentral:tRNA from 1 species
GGGGUUGUAGCUCAGUGGUAGAGCGCUCACCUAGCAUGUGUGAGGCACCGGGUUUGAUCCUCAGCACCA